AUUGAACGCUGGCGGCAUGCCUUACACAUGCAAGUCGAACGGUAACAGGUCUUCGGAUGCUGACGAGUGGCGAACGGGUGAGUAAUACAUCGGAACGUGCCUAGUAGUGGGGGAUAACUACUCGAAAGAGUGGCUAAUACCGCAUGAGAUCUACGGAUGAAAGCAGGGGAUCGCAAGACCUCGUGCUACUAGAGCGGCCGAUGGCAGAUUAGGUAGUUGGUGGGAUAAAAGCUUACCAAGCCGACGAUCUGUAGCUGGUCUGAGAGGACGAUCAGCCACACUGGGACUGAGACACGGCCCAGACUCCUACGGGAGGCAGCAGUGGGGAAUUUUGGACAAUGGGCGCAAGCCUGAUCCAGCAAUGCCGCGUGCAGGAUGAAGGCCUUCGGGUUGUAAACUGCUUUUGUACGGAACGAAAAGCCCUGGGUUAACACCCUGGGGUCAUGACGGUACCGUAAGAAUAAGCACCGGCUAACUACGUGCCAGCCGCCGCCGUAAUAC
rnacentral:rRNA from 1 species